UGACCAAUCACGCAAGUGGUAUUGGGGCUUGCCUACUGGGCAUCCCUUAAAUAUAGUGGCAGUGCUAUAGGCUCUCAGCGCAGUAAUUAUUUCGCUCUUGAGUCCUAGACCCACCCGCCAAAACCCCAACUUUCUCAA
rnacentral:misc_RNA from 1 species